rnacentral:rRNA from 1 species
AAACCUUACCAGGGUUUGACAUGGAGCUUAAGGCCGUAGAGAUACGGAGAUAAUAAACUCACACAGGUGGUGCAUGGUUGUCGUCAGCUCGUGUCGUGAGAUGUUGGGUUAAGUCCCGCAACGAGCGCAACCCUCGUUUCUAGUUACCAUCAUUUAGUUGGGGACUCUAGAGAGACUGCCGAUGUAAAUCGGAGGAAGGUGGGGAUGACGUCAAAUCAGCAUGCCCUUUAUAUCCUGGGCGACACACGUGCUACAAUGGCCAAUACAAAGAGAUGCAAACUCGCGAGAGCAAGCAAAACUCGGAAAGUUGGCCUCAGUUCAGACUGAAGUCUGCAAUUCGACUUCACGAAGGCGGAAUUACUAGUAAUCGCAGAUCAGCAUGCUGCGGUGAAUACGUUCCCGGGGUUUGUACACACCGCCCGUCAAACCAUGAGAGCUGGUAAUGCUUGAAGCCGCUGUUCCAACCGCAAGGAGGAAGGCGUCUAGGGCAGGAUCGGUGAUUGGGGUU